UACGAAGGGGGCUAGCGUUGCUCGGAAUUACUGGGCGUAAAGGGAGCGUAGGCGGACGACUAAGUCAGAGGUGAAAGCCCAGGGCUCAACCCUGGAAUUGCCUUUGAUACUGGUCAUCUUGAGUAUGGGAGAGGUGUGCGGAACUCCGAGUGUAGAGGUGAAAUUCGUAGAUAUUCGGAAGAACACCAGUGGCGAAGGCGGCACACUGGCCCAUUACUGACGCUGAGGCUCGAAAGCGUGGGGAGCAAACAGG
rnacentral:rRNA from 1 species